AGGGAAUCUUCCACAAUGGACGCAAGUCUGAUGGAGCAACGCCGCGUGAGUGAAGAAGGUCUUCGGAUCGUAAAGCUCUGUUGUUGGUGAAGAAGGAUAGAGGCAGUAACUGGUCUUUAUUUGACGGUAAUCAACCAGAAAGUCACGGCUAACUACGUGCCAGCAGCCGCGGUAAUACGUAGGUGGCAAGCGUUGUCCGGAUUUAUUGGGCGUAAAGCGAGCGCAGGCGGAAUGAUAAGUCUGAUGUGAAAGCCCACGGCUCAACCGUGGAACUGCAUCGGAAACUGUCAUUCUUGAGUGCAGAAGAGGAGAGUGGAACUCCAUGUGUAGCGGUGGAAUGCGUAGAUAUAUGGAAGAACACCAGUGGCGAAGGCGGCUCUCUGGUCUGCAACCGACGCUGAGGCUCGAAAGCAUGGGUAGCGAAGCAGGAUUAGAUACCCUGGUAGUCCAUGCCGUAAACGAUGAGCGCUAGGUGUUGGGGACUUUCCGGUCCUCAGUGCCGCAGCAAACGCAUUAAGCGCUCCGCCUGGGGAGUACGACCGCAAGGUUGAAAC
rnacentral:rRNA from 1 species